rnacentral:rRNA from 1 species
GUAGGUGGCAAGCGUUAUCCGGAAUUAUUGGGCGUAAAGCGCGCGUAGGCGGUAAAAUAAGUCUGAUGUGAAAGCCCCCGGCUCAACCGGGGAGGGUCAUUGGAAACUGUUUUACUUGAGUACAGAAGAGGAGAGUGGAAUUCCAUGUGUAGCGGUGAAAUGCGCAGAGAUAUGGAGGAACACCAGUGGCGAAGGCGGCUCUCUGGUCUGUAACUGACGCUGAGGUGCGAAAGCGUGGGGAUCAAACAGGAUUAGAUACCCUGGUAGUCCACGCCGUAAACGAUGAGUGCUAAGUGUUGGGGGGUUUCCGCCCCUCAGUGCUGCAGCUAACGCAUUAAGCACUCCGCCUGGGGAGUACGGCCGCAAGGCUG